AUGUGCCACCCUCUCUCCGUGAAAUCAGAGGAAAUGAGGAGGCAGCUGCAGGCUGUCCGCCUACCUCUGCUCCCACCAGCGGCCUCGGCAGCUGCCUGCAGAGGUGAGAGUUGUCAGCAAACUGAUGGGAAACAGCUGGCGUCUUCCUGCCUCUUGUGUUCUCCCAGCUCUAAGCCCACACACAACUACAAGAGCCGCUGCCAGGCCCUUCCAACUGAGCUGCGGGUCUCCUCAGCCGUCACUGUAUAUCCACAGGGUGUAACAGAGAAGAUGACCACGGAGGUAGGGUUUCAGGUCCCAAGGCUGGCGUUGGACUCUUGUUGGGAUUACACGCGUGUGCCACUGGGCCUAUUGAUAGACCUUGGAUGUCCAAGCGGGUUUCUGUCCCUUUCCAAUCCUGUUUUCUCAAACUCACCACAGCGACGGACAUGUCACAUACGUCCAGUUUGA
rnacentral:lncRNA from 1 species